rnacentral:rRNA from 1 species
AGCGAACGCUGGCGGCAGGCCUAACACAUGCAAGUCGAACGAACUCUUCGGAGUUAGUGGCGGACGGGUGAGUAACACGUGGGAACGUGCCUUUAGGUUCGGAAUAACUCAGGGAAACUUGUGCUAAUACCGAAUGUGCCCUUCGGGGGAAAGAUUUAUCGCCUUUAGAGCGGCCCGCGUCUGAUUAGCUAGUUGGUGAGGUAAAGGCUCACCAAGGCGACGAUCAGUAGCUGGUCUGAGAGGAUGACCAGCCACAUUGGGACUGAGACACGGCCCAAACUCCUACGGGAGGCAGCAGUGGGGAAUCUUGCGCAAUGGGCGAAAGCCUGACGCAGCCAUGCCGCGUGUAUGAUGAAGGUCUUAGGAUUGUAAAAUACUUUCACCGGUGAAGAUAAUGACUGUAGCCGGAGAAGAAGCCCCGGCUAACUUCGUGCCAGCAGCCGCUGUAACAC